GACGAACGCUGGCGGCGUGCUUAACACAUGCAAGUCGAACGGGCUGCCUGGUUUUCGGAUCGGGUGGUGAGUGGCGAACGGGUGAGUAACACGUGAGUAACCUGCCCCUCUCUUUGGGAUAACGUCGGGAAAUCGGCGCUAAUACCGGGUAUUCUGGCUUCCUCGCAUGGGGUUGUUGGGAAAGGUUUUUUCUGGUGGGGGAUGGGCUCGCGGCCUAUCAGCUUGUUGGUGGGGUGAUGGCCUACCAAGGCGGUGACGGGUAGCCGGCCUGAGAGGGUGUCCGGCCACACUGGGACUGAGACACGGCCCAGACUCCUACGGGAGGCAGCAGUGGGGAAUAUUGCACAAUGGGCGGAAGCCUGAUGCAGCGACGCCGCGUGGGGGAUGACGGCCGUCGGGUUGUAAACCUCUUUCAGUGCAGAACAAGGCUCUUUGUGGGUUGAGGGUAUGCGCAGAAGAAGCGCCGGCUAACUACGUG
rnacentral:rRNA from 1 species